GCCGGGUGCAGUGGCACAUGCCUGUAAUCCCAAUGGCUCAGGAGGCUGAGACAGGAGGAUCGUAGUUCAAAGCCAGCCUCAGCAAAAGCAAGGGGCUAAGCAACUCAGUGAGACCCUGUCUCUA
rnacentral:sRNA from 1 species